CAGUACGAGGAAUGAUGUAUUAUUAUCGGGCCCUCAAGAUGCUAGCUUUUCUUGAUUCUGCUUCCGAGACAGACAUCCAG
rfam:Punica granatum cultivar Dabenzi scaffold601, whole genome shotgun sequence.